GGGUGAAGAUCUACAUGGGUUAGAGCGUGGUGCUGAUAACGCCAAGGUUGCAGGUUUGAUCCCUGUGGGGAAACA